GAUGAAGAAAGUAGCGAAAUGCGAUACGUGAUGUGAAUUGCAGAAUUCAGUGAAUCAUCGAAUCUUUGAACGCAUAUUGCGCUCUCUGGUAUUCCGGAGAGCAUGCUUGUUUGAUUAUCAGUAAACACCUCAACUUCCAUAUCUUUUUUUGAAAUGGGAGUUGGACUUGAGUGAUCCCAACGCUUUUCCUCACCGAAAAGUGGCGGGUUACUUGAAAUGCAGGUGCAGCUGGACUUUUCUCUGAGCUAUAAGCAUAUCUAUUUAGUCUGCCUAAAAAACAGAUUAUUACCUUUGCUGCAGCUAACAUAAAGGAGAUUAGUUCUUGUGCUGACUGAUGCAGGAUUCACAAAGACAGCUUCGGCCGACUUUGUAAACUCGAUCUCAAAUCAAGUAAGACUACCCGCUGAACUUAAGCAUAUCAAUAAGCGGAGGA
rnacentral:misc_RNA from 1 species